rnacentral:rRNA from 1 species
CGCUGGCGGCAUGCCUAACACAUGCAAGUCGAACGAGACCUUCGGGUCUAGUGGCGYACGGGUGCGUAACGCGUGGGAACCUGCCUUUAGGUUCGGGAUAACAGUUAGAAAUGACUGCUAAUACCGGAUGAUGUCUUCGGACCAAAGAUUUAUCGCCUUUAGAUGGGCCCGCGUUGGAUUAGCUAGUUGGUGGGGUAAAGGCCUACCAAGGCGACGAUCCAUAGCUGGUCUGAGAGGAUGAUCAGCCACACUGGGACUGAGACACGGCCCAGACUCCUACGGGAGGCAGCAGUGGGGAAUAUUGGACAAUGGGCGAAAGCCUGAUCCAGCAAUGCCGCGUGAGUGAUGAAGGCCUUAGGGUUGUAAAGCUCUUUUACCAGGGAUGAUAAUGACAGUACCUGGAGAAUAAGCUCCGGCUAACUCCGUGCCAGCAGCCGCGGUAAUACGGAGGGAGCUAGCGUUGUUCGGAAUUACUGGGCGUAAAGCGCACGUAGGCGGCUUUUUAAGUCAGGGGUGAAAUCCCGGGGCUCAACCCCGGAACUGCCCUUGAAACUGGAGAGCUAGAAUCUUGGAGAGGCGAGUGGAAUUCCGAGUGUAGAGGUGAAAUUCGUAGAUAUUCG